AAGCACAGCUCAGCAUCCUGCACUGGACCAGAUGAAAACAGGGUCCUGAUGUAUGGGAUGUCUAUGGUAGGAAGUUCCAAGCAGGGGAGGGUUGGUACUUACAGACUUGCAUCGCGAGUUUGAAACGUUAAAAAUAUUGAGACGGAAGCUCUGAGUUCCUGAACUGGAGAUUCCAGGAUGAACUUGGGCGACUCACUAAGAAGCAACUAUGGGGCAGGCCACCCACCAUGCCCUGCACUUGCAGGUGUGUGUACACAUGCCUGUGAAGGCACACCCAUGGAAAUGGAAAGUGCUGACUUUCUCUGCUACUCACAGUUAACAGCCUCACUUGGAAUUUCUGUCUGCGCAGCUUCCAUUCAAACUCUUCUAACUGCCUGUGGGCUUGCAGAGGCUCCAGGAUACCCACCCACUCUUGCCUGUUCCCUGGCUCUUCUCUUUCAGGAAGGAGAGACGACUUGACUACCUAAGCAGCAACUUCAAAGACAGCCUCAUUUAUAAGAAAUACCCCUCUCCAGACAAAGCAGAUUUUAAAACGCACAAAAUUCUUAGUUGUCCAUUGUAAUAUUUUAUUUACAUUUAUGUUAAUAAGGGAGUGUAACUAUUUCUCCCAUUAAAAUGUGUUCAAUAACAUUA
rnacentral:lncRNA from 1 species